rnacentral:rRNA from 1 species
CCCUACGGGGGGCAGCAGUGGGGGAUAUUGCACAAUGGGGGAAACCCUGAUGCAGCGACGCCGCGUGGGUGAGGAAGCGCCUCGGCGCGUAAAGCCCUGUCAGCAGGGAAGAAAAUGACGGCACCUGAAGAAGAAGCCCCGGCUAACUACGUGCCAGCAGCCGCGGUAAUACGUAGGGGGCAAGCGUUAUCCGGAUCUACUGGGUGUAAAGGGGGCGCAGACGGCGAUGCAAGCCAGGAGUGAAAGCCCGGGGCCCAACCCCGGGACUGCUCUUGGAACUGCGUGGCUAGAGUGCAGGUGGGGCG